UGAGUUCCUCAUGCCUCUGAAUCAACAGGCAAAGAAGAGAGUUAUGGUGCUGGCUGGGGUAAUUGAGUUUGAUCACCAACAGGAAACUGCUGCUCUGCAAUGGAGGGUCUGGCUCUGUUGCCGAGGCUGGAGCACAAGGUGUGACCUCAGCUCACUGCAACCUCCACCUCUCAGGAUCAAGCAAUCCUCCCGCCUCAUCCUCACGAGCAGCUGGGACUACAGACAUGCACCACCAUGUCGGCUAAUUUUUGUAAUUUUAAUAGAGACAGGGUUUUGCCAUGUUGCCCAGGCUGGUUUCGAACUCCUGUACUCAAGCUACACCUCUGCCUUAGCCUCCCACAAUGCUGGGAUUACAUGGGAGAGCUACCAUGCCCAGCCUGCACAUUAUGUUAUUUAAUCACUUUUUUGCUGAGCACAUAAUAG
rnacentral:lncRNA from 1 species